rnacentral:rRNA from 1 species
CCUACGGGUGGCAGCAGUGGGGAAUAUUGCACAAUGGGGGAAACCCUGAUGCAGCGACGCCGCGUGAGUGAAGAAGUAUUUCGGUACGUAAAGCUCUAUCAGCAGGGAAGAAAAUGACGGUACCUGACUAAGAAGCCCCGGCUAACUACGUGCCAGCAGCCGCGGUAAUACGUAGGGGGCAAGCGUUAUCCGGAUUUACUGGGUGUAAAGGGAGCGUAGACGGCAGCGCAAGUCUGGAGUGAAAUCCCAUGGCUUAACCAUGGAACUGCUUUGGAAACUGUGCAGCUAGAGUGCAGGAGAGGUAAGCGGAAUUCCUAGUGUAGCGGUGAAAUGCGUAGAUAUUAGGAGGAACACCAGUGGCGAAGGCGGCUUACUGGACUGUAACUGACGUUGAGGCUCGAAAGCGUGGGGAGCAAACAGGAUUAGAUACCCCAUC